AGAUUUAUAAAAGCGCCAGAACUAUGAUAGUUCAUAGUAGACGAGGAGAAGGGUGAUCGAAAAUCGGCGGAUACCUUCUAGUGCUCAUCUGCACUAAAAAAAUCUUAUACAAAGCAACUGGGUGACUGGUUGUACAAAGGUAAGAUUAAGAUGUAGG
rnacentral:ncRNA from 2 species